GGCGAGUGAGCGGCAACAGCUCAAUUUGAAAUCUGGCCCCCCCGGGCCCGAGUUGUAAUUUGCAGAGGAUGCUUCUGGCAAGGCGCCUUCCGAGUGCCCUGGAACGGGACGCCACAGAGGGUGAGAGCCCCGUCUGGUUGGACGCCGAGCCUCCGCGAAGCUCCUUCGACGAGUCGAGUAGUUUGGGAAUGCUGCUCUAAACGGGAGGUAUAUGUCUUCUAAAGCUAAAUACCGGCCAGAGACCGAUAGCGCACAAGUAGAGUGAUCGAAAGAUGAAAAGCACUUUGAAAAGAGGGUUAAACAGUACGUGAAAUUGUUGAAAGGGAAGCGCUCGCGACCAGACUUGGGCCCGGCGAAUCAUCCGGCGUUCUCGCCGGUGCACUUCGCCGGGCUUCCAGGCCAGCAUCAGCUCGCCUCGGGGGACAAAGGCCCGGGGAACGUGGCUCCUUACGGGAGUGUUAUAGCCCCUCGCGCAAUGCCCUGGGGCGGGCUGAGGACCGCGCAUUCGCAAGGAUGCUGGCGUAAUGAUCGUCAGCGACCCGUCU
rnacentral:rRNA from 1 species